AACUUUCAACAACGGAUCUCUUGGCUCUGGGCAUCGAUGAAGAACGCAGCGAAAUGCGAUAAGUAAUGUGAAUUGCAGAAUUUAGUGAAUCAUCGAAUCUUUGAACGCACAUUGCGCCCCUGGGUACUCCUAGGGGCAUGCCUGUUCGAGCGUC
rnacentral:rRNA from 1 species